rnacentral:tRNA from 1 species
GGCUGGGGCUCAGUGGUAGAGCUCUCGCCCGGCACGCAUGAAGCACUGGGUUCGAUCCUCAGCACCA